rnacentral:rRNA from 1 species
UACGAAGGGGGCUAGCGUUGUUCGGAAUUACUGGGCGUAAAGCGUGCGCAGGCGGUUAUGUAAGACAGUUGUGAAAUCCCCGGGCUCAACCUGGGAACUGCAUCUGUGACUGCAUAGCUAGAGUACGGUAGAGGGGGAUGGAAUUCCGCGUGUAGCAGUGAAAUGCGUAGAUAUGCGGAGGAACACCGAUGGCGAAGGCAAUCCCCUGGACCUGUACUGACGCUCAUGCACGAAAGGCGUGGGGAGCAAACGAGGAUUACGAA